GAUGAAGAACGUAGCGAAAUGCGAUAAGUAAUGUGAAUUGCAGAAUUCAGUGAAUCAUCGAAUCUUUGAACGCACAUUGCGCCCGCCAGUAUUCUGGCGGGCAUGCCUGUUCGAGCGUCAUUUCAACCAUCAAGCCCCCGGCUUGUGUUGGGGACCUGCGGCUGCCGCAGGCCCUGAAAAGCAGUGGCGGGCUCGCUGUCACACCGAGCGUAGUAGCAUACAUCUCGCUCUGGGCGUGCUGCGGGUUCCGGCCGUUAAACCACCUUCAUAACCCAAGGUUGACCUCGGAUCAGGUAGGAAGACCCGCUGAACUUAAGCAUAUCAAUAAGCGAGGA
rnacentral:misc_RNA from 1 species